rnacentral:rRNA from 1 species
UACGUAGGGACCAAGCGUUGUCCGGAAUCAUUGGGCGUAAAGAGCGUGUAGGCGGCGUGUUAAGUCUUGCGUGAAAUCUCGGGGCUCAACCCCGAGCGGUCGUGAGAAACUGGCAGGCUAGAGUGCGGGAGAGGAGAGUGGAAUUCCUGGUGUAGCGGUGAAAUGCGCAGAUAUCAGGAAGAACACCCGUGGCGAAGGCGGCUCUCUGGAACGCAACUGACGCUGAGACGCGAAAGCGUGGGGAGCAAACAGG